rnacentral:lncRNA from 1 species
CAUCCGGACUCACCGGCAGCUCCAGCCGCCGUUGCCUCCGCCUCCAGCCGCAUUGCCCUCAGGCCUCGAGUCCCCCACUAGCUCCUUCCGUCCAGGCACGGGCUCCGGCGCUAGAGCAGUUUGAAAAUGGCGCGGAGGGACGAUCGGGGCCGACACGGAGGAGGCGCCGCGGUUGCCCCGGUAACGGGAGCGGCGGACGAUUAGCGGCUCGCGGCGGGGACGCGCUUGGCGACGAUGGCGGAGCCCCAGUGCCCGGAAAUGCAACGGCCCGGACAGCGCGAGGCCACGGCGCCCCCUGGAGGUCGGCGCCCGCGGCCAGCAAAUGCCAAACCUCAGCUGGUGCCUGAGCUGGCAUCCUCUUCCUCCUGUCGGCGGGAGGUGUGGAUCACCUACUGCGUGCGGGGAACAAACGCCGCCCCAGUACCGGUCCCUGCAGCGGAGUAGCCUUCACCUGCAAGGUGAACGCCUGCUCACCACGUAAUCCCCAAACGCAGAUAUCACGUUGUCUCUGCAACUUUCCCUGACAACCACCCAAUGCAAUUAAUUAUCCCACAAUAGUAUCUCCCGCAGGCUCUCUGUAGAACCAUAGAAUUCAUCCAUCAAAAUACAAUCAUUUGUUGAUCCGUCUCUCUCUGCCGCCCCCAAAUGUGAAUUCCUUGAGUCAGAGACUAUUCUACUCAGCAAAACAUUUGUGAGUGGAAUUAAAUUGAAAUAAACCGUUAUAGUCCACUCACAGAUGGAAAACACAUAGUAAAAUCCUAGAAUUCCAUUUCUCCCCUGAAAAUUUCCCAGACAGUCAGAGGGAGUUUCAUUCUUUCCUGUUUACUUUUCUCCCAAAUAGGCCUUCUGAGGCAGCAGAAUAGGGAAGGAAGUCAGAAGACUGACCAGCUCAUACCUAUGGAAUGCCUAUCAUACAUACACUUAAAAUUAUGGCAAGCUCACGCAGGCGCACUAAGAGAGAAAAAACAAGAAAACAGAUAUGACAAUUAUAGGAAAUCCCCUCCCUAGAGUUAAAGAAGUGUAGGAAGUGGGUAUAAAAGAACAAAGGCUAUAUUAAUCCAGGGCUGACACCACUUGAAGAUAAGCCCGUUCCUCUCUCUGGUAUAUUCUUUGCUUAAUAAAUCUUGUGGGGUGGUUAUUUGUGUGUCUCAUCCAAUUCUUUGUUCAUAACACCAAGAACCUGGAACUCCCAACUUCCAAUCUGGUAACAUAUUUUGGUGAGCCAGCCAGGAGGGUCAAGCCUGCAAUACCUAAAGCUCCAGACCUGGAACCCAAAGCUCCCAUCAGUCGCUACCCUGUGAACCUGUGGAGGAUCUGAAGUACCUGUUUAAAAGGCAUCCAAAAGAUAGAAUCUAUCAAGCUACAAAUGGCUAUGUUGCCUGAAGCCCCAGACAUCAUCCUACAAGAAAUAAGUCCAGACUUCUUAAUUUCCCCCUGGAUAGAGCAGGGUAAGAGUUCUGUGGUCCCCUGUUAGGUGGGGCCAGCAGUCCCACUCAGCUGGAAGCAAGUAUAGAAGAAAGAACUUCAACCCUCAGCAACCUAUUAUGAUUUAUGGGGAUCACAUCUCUCAGAGGGAAUUGAGGCAGGAGAAUAGGGAAGGAAGUCAGAAAAUCAACCUGCAGCCUUUUCUCACCAAAACAAGCAUAAGGCACCAUCUGAUAAGGAAGCUGAAGCAAUGAACCAAUGCUUUCUGCAGUAAACAAAUCUGGUAUAACCUUUUAUUAUAAUAAGUUACUUAAAGCCCAUACAUAUGGAAUGCAUAUCAUACAUACACUUAAAAUUAUGGAAUGGCAAGCACAUGCAGGCGCACUGAGAGAGAAAACCAACAAGAAAACUGAUAUGUCAAUUAUAGGCAACCUCCUCCCUAAAAGUUAAGUAAGAGUAGUAAGGUGGUAUAAAAGAACAAAGGCUAUGUUAACCCAGGGCUGAUACCACUCGCGGAUCAGCCCAUUCUUCUCUCUGGAACAUUCUUUGCUUAAUACAUCUUGUGGGGUCAUUAUUUGUGUGUCUCCUCCAAUUCUUUGUUUGCAACACCAAGAACCUGGAAAUCCAACUUCCAAUCUGGUAACACUUCUACUCUAAAAAUGUGCUUACUCUUUGUAUAGCAUGUAACUGCUCUAUUGGUUGUACCCAUUCAUAUAUUAAUGUUUCCACUUUUUAUGCCUCCUCUGUUUUUCUCAUGCCUUAAUGAGCUGUUUUAUGGAAUUUCUAGGAGGCAAUGAGUUGAGUUCUAUAGAUGACUUUUGUACAUCUUGCACAUGUACAAUUUAACACUUUUUUGUGAACAACAGAUAUCUUUUUUGAAAAGAGGUAGUCAUAGAUUAAUAUCAUAGCAAAAUGGCUGUGCAACGGCCAUCCAGUCAAGAUUACUCUUUAGCUUCCCUUUGCCCCAAGCACAUACCAAUUAGAAAAUGUAAAAAUAAAACCCAAAAAAGAAAUGCAAAAAGGUGAGUAGGAUGAAAGCCAUUAGUGAGCUUUGUUCCAAGUGACAUGGAAGACCAGAGUCAAGGUCACUGCUGAACUUCAAGGCCUGAGGUCAGGGUCCCUGGAUGUUUUAGGCAGUUCUCACAUUGCUAUAAAGAAAUACCUGAGACUGGGUAAUUUAAAAAGAAAAGAGGUUCAACUGACUUACUAGCAAACUGAAUUCAACAACACAUUUAAAAGAUCAUUACGACCAAAUGGGAUUUACCCCAGGGAUGCAAGGAUGGUUCAACAUAUGCAAAUCAAUGUGAUACAUCACAUUAACAGAAUGAAGGACAAAAACUAUAUGAUUAUUUCAGUUGAUGCUGAAAAAGCACUUGAUAAAAUUCAAUAUCCCUUCAUGGAAACCCUCAAAGGGCCAGGCACAGUGGCUCACACCUGUAAUCCCAGCACUUUGGUAGGCUGAGGUGGGCAGAUUGCUUGAGCCCAAGAGUUGGAGACCAGCCUGCACAACAAGGUGAAAUCCCAUCUCUACAAAAAAAUACAAAAGUUAGCCAGGUGUGAUGGUACACACCUGUAGUCCCAGCUACUUGGGAAGCCGAGAUGAGAGGAUUGCUUCAGGUCAGGAGGUCAAGGCUUCAGUGAAGAGAUCACACCACUGCAUUCCAGCCUGGGCAACAAAGUGAGACCCUUUCUCAAAAAAGAAUCUCAAAAAACUGGGUAUAGAAGGAACUACCUUUACAUAAUAAAAGCCACAGCUUGUAUCAUACUAAAAGAGAGAAAAAACCUUUCCUGUAAGAUCUAGAACAUGACAAGGAUGCCCUCUUUCACCACUGUUGUUCAACAUAGUGCUGGAAGUCUUAGCUAGAGAAUUUCAGAGAAGAGAACAAAAUAAAGAGCAUUCAAAUCGGAAAUGAAGAGGUCAAAUUAUCCUUGUUUGCAGAUGAUAUGAUCUUAUAUUUGGAAAAACCUAAAGACUCCACCAAAAAAGUAUUAGAACUGAUAAAUUCAGUAAAGCUGUGUGAUACAAAAUCAACUUAUGAAAAUCAGUAGCAUUUCCACAUGCCAACAGUGAACAAUCUAAAAAAGAAUUUUAAAAGUUAUCCCACUUACAAUAGCUACAAAUAAAAUUAGAUACCUAGGAAUUACCUUAAUUAAAGAAGUGAAAGAUUGCUACAAUUCAAAACUAUAAAACAUGUGAUGAAAGAAAUUGAAGAGGACACACAAAAAUGGAAGGAUAUUCCAUGUUCAUGAAUUGGAAGAAUAAAUAUUGUUAAAAUGUCCAUAAUACUUAAAGUAAUCUAAAAUUCAGCCCCUGAUAUUCAACGUGGGUCCUUUUCUAUUUUCCCUAAGUGAUGGCCAGUCUGAGAAAUAAAGGGAAAGAGUACAAAAGAGAGAAAUUUUAAAGCUGGGUGUCCAGGGGAGACAUCACAUGUCGGCAGUUUCCAUGAUGCCCCCCAAGCUGCAAAACCAGCAAGUUUUUAUUAGUGAUUUCCAAAGGGGAGGGAGUGUACAAAUAGGGUGUGGGUCACAGAGAUCUCAUGCUUCACAAGGUAAUAAAAUAUUACAAGGCAAAUGGAGGCAGGGUGAGAUCACAGGACUGGGGUGAAAUUAAAAUUGCUAAUGAAGUUUCGGGCAUGCAUUGUCAUUGAUAACAUCUUAUCAGGAGACAGGGUUUGAGAGCAGACAACCGGUCUGAUCAAAAUUUAUUAGGUGGGAAUUUCCUCAUCCUAAUAAGCCUGGGAGCGCUACGCGAGACCGGGGCUUAUUUCUUCCCUUAUCUACAACUGUAAAAGACAGACAUUCCCAGAGCAGCCAUUUCAGAGACCUCCUCCUAGGAAUGCAUUCUCUUUCUCAGGGCUAUUUCUUGCUGAGAAAAUGAAUUCAGUGAUAUUUCUCCUAUUUGCUUUUGAAAAAAGAGAAAUAUGGCUUUGUUCUGCCCAGCUUUCAGGCAGCCAGACCUAAUGGUUGUCUCCCUUGUUCCCUGAACAUUGCUGUUAUCCUGUUCUUUUUUCAAGGUGCCCAGAUUUCAUAUUGUUUAAACAAUUUGUGCAGUUAACCCAAUCAUCACAGGGUCCUGAGGCAACAUACAUCCUCAGCUUAUGAAGAUGACAGGAUUAAGAGAUUAAAGUAAAGACAGGCAUAGGAAAUCACAAGAGUAUUGAUUGGGGAGUGAUAAAUGUCCAUGAAAUCUUCACAAUUUAUGUUCAGAGAUUGCAGUAAAGACAGGCAUAAGAAAUUGUAAAAGUAUUAAUUUGGGGAACUAAUAAAUGCCCAUGAAAUCUUCACAAUUUAUGUUCUUCUACCAUGGCUUCAGCCAGUCCCUCCGUUCGGGGUCCCUGAAUUCCCACAACACAGAUUCAAUGCAAUCUCUGUCAAAAUAUCAAUAACAUUCUGCACAGAAAUUUUUAAAAAUCCUAAAAUUGAUAUGGAACCACAAAAGACCCAGAGUAGCCAAAGCUAUCCUGAGCAAAAAGAACAAAACUGGAGGAAUCACAUUACUUGAUUUCAGAUAAUACUACAGAGGUAUAGUAACCAAAAUGGCAUAGUACUGGCAUAAAAAUAGACCAAUGGAACAGAACAGAGAAUGCAGAAACAAAUCCAUACAUCCAGAGUGAACUCAUUUUUGACAAAGGUGCCAAUAACAUGCAUUGGGGAAAGGACAGUCUCUUCAGUAAAUGGUGCUGGGAAAACUGGAUAUCCAUAUGCAGAAUGAAACUAGACCACUAUCUCUCCUCAUAUACAAAAAUCAAAUCAAAAUGGAUUAAAGACAUAUCUAACUCCUAGAACUAUGAAACUACUACAAGAAAACAUUGGGGAAACUCUCCAGGACAUUGGACUAGGCAAAGAUUUCUUGAGUAAUACUCCAAAAACACAGGCAACCAAAGCAAAAAUAUAAAAUAGGUUCACAUCAAGUUAAAAAGCUUCUGCACAGCAAAAGAAACCAUCAACAAAGAGGCAACCUGCAGAAUGGGAGAAAAUAUUUGCAAACUACCAUCUGACAAGGGAUUAAUAACAGAAACUAUAAGGAGCUCAAACAACUCUAAAGGAAAAAUAUAAUAAUCCAAUUUAAAAAAUGAGCAAAAGAUCUGAAUAGACACUUCUCAAAAGAUGACAUACAAAUGGCAGACAGGUAUAUGAAAUUGAUCAUCAGAGAAAUGCAAAUCAAAGCUACAAUGAGAUAUCAUCUCACUCCAGUUAAAAUGGUUUCUAUCCAAAAGUGAGACAAUAAUAAAUGCUGGAGAGGAUAUGGAGAAAAGGGACCCUCGUACACUAUAUUUGGGAAUGUAAAUCAGUACAACCACUGUGGAGAAGUUUGGAGAUGCCUCCAAAAACUAAAAAUAGAGCUACCAUAUGAUCUAGCAACCCCACUGCCAGGUAUAUUCCUAAAAGAAAGGAAAUCAGUAUAUCAAAGAGAUAUCUGCACUCCUAUGCUUAUUGCAGCACUAUUCAUAGUAGCCAAGAUUUGAAAGUAACCUAAAUGUUCAUCAGCAGAUGAAUGGAUAAAGAAAAUGUGGUACAUAUACACAAUGGAAUACUAUUCAGCCAUAAAAAAGAAUGAGAUUCUGUCAUUUGCAACAACAUGGAUGGAACUGGAGGCCACUGUGUUAAGAUAAGCCAGGCAGAGAAAGACAAACUUUGUAUGUUCUCACUUAUUUGUGGGAGCUAAAACUUAAAACCAUUGAACUCGUGGAGAUAGAGAGUAGAAAGAUGGUUCACUUCAAAACAAAACAAAACAAAACAAACAAAAGCAGUGAAGUAUAAGAAGGACUUGAUGAAAAAAAAGGACAUAACAAGCUGGCUUACUGGCUCAAAAAUGGAAGGGGCAGUCUGAGGGGAAUGCAAACAUCCUAGAGGGGCUGAGAGAGAGCCUGUUCACAGCCAGCAACUGUUAACUGAACCUUAGCCCUACAGCUGUAGGAAAUGAAUUCCUUACACCAAUCUGAAUGAGCAGGCCCUACCCCAGAUUCUCUUAUCUCUAGAUAAGAGCCCAGGCACUUUGAUUUAGGGAGCAGAGCCCACCUAGAGAGUUCUGACCUGCAGAACUAUGAUAUAAUACCUGUGGGUUGUUCUAAACUGCUAAGGUUGGGGUGAUUUGUUUUUGUAGCAACAGAAAAACAAAUAUAGCUGAGAAGUCAGGCUUGAAGAGAUAACAGCUAAGAAUUUUCCGGAAGUGAAUCAAGGCACAAAUCUUCCGAUAAAAGUUUGCACCAUCUAACUAAGGAGAGCAGGUUAAACAUACACAGUUAUUUCAGCUCUCUCCCUCCUUCACUCCCCUAAAACUACAAUAAAGGGCUUAUUUAUUUAUUUGACAGAGUCUUGCUCUGUCGCUCAGGCUGCAGUGCAGUGGCACAAUCUCUGCAACCUGCCUGCUCCUGGGCUCAAGUGAUUCUCCUGCCUCAGCCUCCCGAGUAGCUGGGACCACAGGAGUGUGCCACCAUGACUGGCUAAUUUUUGUAUUUUUUGUAGAGAUGGGGUUUCACCAUGUUGCCCAAGCUAGUCUCCAACUCCUGGGCUCCAGUGAGUCACCUGCCUCAGCCUCCCAAAGUGCUGGGAUUACAGGCAUGAGACACCACACCCGGCCAAUAAAGGAAUUUUUAAGGUGCUUUUUAAAAACCAUCAGGUCAAAGAGAUUGUAGAGAAGACAAUAUCAAUACAAUUUGAGGACUGCAUAGCAGAAGGACAGCUGGAAACUGACUUAGCUCAGAAAAUUUUGAAUCUCAUCCAGCAGUGGGAAAAGCUCAGGAGCAACCUAACGACUCUGUAGAAACCUCAAAAGGCACAGGUGGCACCAGGUAGCUCUGGAAGUGGAAAUGAAGUGGGGCUAAAAGCAGCAGGAUUGUCUCCGGUGGAGUGUUUCCCACCGUCUUCUGCUGUAGAGAAUCGUGAGCUGGUUCCAUGCAGUUUCACCUUAGGCAUGGGUGGAUGCUUUCCUUCCCCACCUUCACGACUUCUGCAGGUGCCCCCAGCAGGAAGGAUCCAUGGCAGGCUGAGCAAACUCUCUGGGCACAGACAGGCAUUAUUCAUGCCGGACAUCAACAAGCUCUUUUCUGGCUGCUAUCAAUGUGGUCUUCUCUAGGGAACAAUAAGAAAGAUAGAUGAUGACGCUCCUAGACACUGUGAUAGAAAUGCGUAGGCUAACUUGUCUCCCCAGACUAACCUGUCUUCCAGCAGCUCCUUGGCAUUUGCUUGCUCAGGGUGUGGGGUGUGAAAGGCAGGAAUUUCCUGGGCCAGAGCUGAUUCCAUCAGUGCAUGGCCCAGCUGAUUCCAACCUGACUUAUGCUGAUUCCAUCAGUGUAUCUGGUCCCUUCCCUACUUUUCCUCCUUGUAUUAGUUUCCUCAAGCUGCUGUUAACAAUGAUCACAAAUGGGCUGGGCACAGUGGUUCAUGCCUGAAAUCCCAGCAGUUUGGGAGGCUGAGGUGGGAGGACUGCUUAAGCCCAAGAGUUCGAGACCAGCCUGGGCAAUAAAAUAGGAACCUAUCUCUACAAAAUAAAAAAGAAUUAGCCAGGUGUGGUGGCACAUGCCUGUAGUCCCAGCUACUCAGGAGGCUUGGGCAGGAGGAGAGCUUGAGCCCAGGAGGUUGAGGCUUCAGUGAGCUGUGAUCAAGCCACUGCACCCCACCCUGGGACUUUAAAGUUUAUCUCUAAAUACCUCAGAAUAUCACCUCAUUUGGAAAUAAGGUCAUUGCAGCUUUAAUUUGUUAAGAUGAGGUCAUACUGGAGUAGAGUGGGCCCCUAAUCCAAUAUGACCGGUAUCCUUAUAAAAAGAACACCACCAUGUAAAGAGAUAGAGGGAAGAUCAUGCAAACACAGGGAGAAUGUCAUCUACUAGGAAUGCCAAAAUUGCCAGCAAACCACCAGAAGCCAGGAGAAAGGCAUGGAACAGAUUCUCCCUCACAGCCCUCAGAAAGAAUCAACCCUGAUAACACAUUGAUCUCAGAAAGCAAGCCUCCAGAAAUGUAUUGUUUCACAAUACAUUUCUGUUGGUUAAGCCGCCCUGGCAAUCUGAUACAUAUAUGCUUAAAUACCCGUUAAGGCCACAGAAUAAAUAUUUUAGGAAUUCAGAAAAGAAAAAGACGCUCUGAAGACCUUCAGAGGAAGGUCUGAUAUGAAGACCUCAGCAUAAAACUGAGCUACUUCUCAGUUUUAUGGAGUAGAUAAGACUUGGAGUUGGACCUUGAAAUGACUAGAACUUGGAUGCAUAAAGAAGAGGAAGCAAGAGAUGUGGGGAUGGAAGAAAGGGAGGAGAGGAGAUAACAGGAUGGGAAAAAAUGAUAGGGAAGAAUGUUUUUCUCAAUAAUAAAUACAGCCAUCUGAUGGGGCCAGGGACAAGCAGAAUGGCAUAGAUAAUGACAAGACUGAAAAUAAAAAGUGAAGUCAGAUGACUAAAGGACCCACCAAAUAUUAGAUUUCAGAGCUUGAAUUUUAUCCAAUAUGUAAUGGAGAAUUAUUGACCUUUUAAAGCUGGAAAAUGACAUGAAGAAAUUAGUUUGCGGGAAAUAUAUCUGGGUAGUAGAAGCAUGGAAUGGUGAAUAGUGACUGGUGCAGAAAACAAUGUUAUCUAGGACAAGAGUCAGAAGAUUUUUUUAAUGACAUGAUAAAGGUCUGAAGGAAACGUGCAAAAUAUUACAAAGGAAGAAUGGGCAGGGCUUAGUGAGGGAAGGGCCUCUGUGAGUGGAGGGGAAGGAAUCCAGAUAAACAUCAAGGUUUAGAGUUUCAGAGACUGAAGACCCUGAGAUGGCAUAAUCAGGAAGCUAUCUUGUUGGUGUGGCAGAGGGGCUGGAAAGGGACAGGGGACCAAUAGUAAGUUUGGUUUGUGAUAUAAGGUGCUGAAGGUGAUAUAACAGCAAUGUCUGGGAUAUAGUUGGGUGUGUGCACAUAAUAUGUAACAGAAAUUAACAGAGAGAAAUCAAGUUCCUUUUUCUUAGGUUUCUUCUCUGUAUUUUUAAGACAGUCUGUGUAUUUGGAUGUUGUUUACUGUAGUCACUGAUGAUCCUGUUUCUCCCAUUAGACUGUGAGCUCUUUAAGGGACAAAACAGCUUCUUUGUACCCAUAACCGAAGCAGACUAUCUGGCCUUAAUAGAAGAUCAGGAAAUGUGAAUUGAAUUGAAUCGCACUGCACUGAAGUAAAUGAAUCAAGCCUUCUGACACAAAGUCCAGUAUUCUCUCCAGUAUAACACAGUUGCUUCCCUGUAGUGACUAGGCCAGAGAUGAAUCUAAAAUGUCAGUGUUACUGCCAGCUAAUUCAGGGCCUUUUAUUUAAGCAGCAGGGACUCAAUUUCCCUAUUCCAUAGGUGUACGGUUUGACUGGCAACCUGAUUACUUGGCAGGUAAAGAAAAUGGUUACAAUAGUUCCAGCCUGUCUGGAGCCUUGUAGUGGAGCCUCUGUAGUACCUUGGCUACAAAAGACACUCAAGCUGUGUAAAUGAUCAGAUGUUAUGAGAAGCUAUUCUUUAGUAGCAGAGACACUGGAAAAUUAUAUCAAGAAAGGGUCCCUUUUAAAAGCACAGCGCUGAAGCAUCUUGAUGAUGUAGCAGUUUGUGUGUCUACAACAACAGCAGACAUUUUCAUUUCAUAAUGAUAGCGCAAGGAAUUAUACCUUUUAAUCACUUUUUGGUGUCAGUAAGAAAUAGAGGUAGAGGUUCACGACCUUUGUAUGAAUCAAAGACUUGAUGAACACUACUAUAUUAAAAACAACAGGCUGGGCACAGUGGCUUAGGCAUUUUGGGAAGCCAAGACAGGUAGAUUGCUUGAGCCCAGGAGAUCGAGACAAGCCUGGGCAACAUAGAGAGAUUCCAUCCCUACAUAAAAUAAAAAAAUUAUUAGGCUAGUGCAAAAGUAAUUGCGGUUUUGCUAUUUUAAUGGCAAAAACCGCAGUUACUUUUGCACCAACCUAAAAGCUGUGUGCAGCUGCUUGGGAGGCUGAGGUGGGAGGAUCACCUGAGCCUGGGGAGGUUGAGGCUACAGUGAGCCAGGAUUGUGCCACUGCACUUCAGCCUGGGCAAUAGAGAGCGACCCUAUGUAAAAAAAUAAAAUCAAUAAAAAUAUUAGAACAACAAGCCUGCUUCACGUCAAAAGGUCUAUGAUCAAAAGACAAAGAAUAAGCCAGGAAAAUAUUUGCAACUAAUAUCGUAAACCUAAUAUAGAAAGAGAUCCUAUAAAUUGACAGUAAAAUGACUAACAAAUAGUAGAAUAAAUUAGAAAAAUAAUUUAACAGUAGGCACAAGUAUGAAAAUAUAAUUUGCCAAAUGGCUCUUUACCAUAAGAAGAGACUCAAACUCACUGGAAAUAAGAGGCAUAUAAAUGAAAACUAAGUGAGAUGUGAAGGGUGAGUAGGUAGCCAAGUGAAAGAAGGAUGGAGACAGACAAGAAGCUAAGAGACUAAUAAACUAAUCAUAGCCAUUGUGUAUUACUGGGUUCUAGUGAGUGCUGCUUUACACAAUUCAUGUUUUACAAGUACCAUUUCAUUUAAUCUCCAUAAGAGGCCUAAAAGUAGGAAGUAUUGGUUUCACAAUGUUACAGGUGGGAUUAAGUAAUUUACCAGAAAUCACGAAGUAAAUCAUAGAGCCUUGACUUGAACUCAGGAAGUUAACACAAUUCUGGGAAUAUAGCAGGCUGCCAAGAAAGGGAGCUCCGAAGGACAAUGACCAAAUAUGGAAAUAUUCAGACAAAGAUCAAUUAAACUUUGUGGAGACAUAGAGUUAUCAGAGUCCUAAAAGUUCAAUUAGACCAACCUCCAACAUAGAACACAGACUUCCUCUGCAACCUCUCCAACAGAUGGCCAUCCCAGCUGCCACCUAAACAAGUCCAAUGACAAAAGAGAGUGCUCUACUUGUUAAAGCAGCUCAUUGCAUUGCUGAACGUCUUUGCUGGAAAAAGUCUUCUUUAUAUGAAGCUAAAAUCUGUUUCUCCAUAAGUAUGAGCAAUUUGUUCCAAGCAAUCAAAAGAAAAUGAAUUUUUUGUCUCAUGCAUGUGAUAACUCUUCAGAACAAAUAACCCAGAUCCUUCCAUUUUUGCUCACUUGACAUGGUCUCCAAGCCCAUCCCUUAUCUGGCUAACCCCUCUGGAGUAGAAACAGUCUAGUUUCUCGGUUUUUUUAUUAAAAUGUAUUCCCAGAAAUGAUUGUGUUAGAUUAUGGCUGAGUAUUGAGAUAUGCUUAUUUCUCUUACUAUACCUGCACAGCACACUCAAUGUAUAUCAAACAGUCUAUUACUGUAAUCACC